UUAGUGGCGGACGGGUGAGUAACGCGUGGGUAACCUGCCUCAUACAGGGGGAUAACAGUUAGAAAUGACUGCUAACACCGCAUAAUAUAGCGAAACCGCAUGAUUUUGCUAUCAAAUAUUUAUAGGUAUGAGAUGGGCCCGCGUCUGAUUAGCUAGUUGGUGGGGUAAAAGCCUACCAAGGCGACGAUCAGUAGCCGGCUUGAGAGAGUGACCGGCCACAUUGGGACUGAGACACGGCCCAAACUCCUACGGGAGGCAGCAGUGGGGAAUAUUGGACAAUGGGGGAAACCCUGACCCAGCCGACGCCGCGUGAGUGAAGAAGUAUUUCGGUAUGUAAAGCUCUAUCAGCAGGGAAGAUAAUGACAGUACCUGACUAAGAAGCCCCGGCUAACUACGUGCCAGCCGCCGC
rnacentral:rRNA from 1 species